UUGUUAGGCAGCACUAUGUGGUCUAGUUUACCCUGGUUCGGGUGGCAUGUGGCCGUGGCUAUAUUCUUCCCCUUUGCAGCUCCUUACUUGAAUAUGGGUCCUCUGACUAAGGCUACCAUUGCUGUUAUCCAGCUUGCGUUAUGGGUCGAGAAGGUGAGGAAUUCAUGGGUUUUUAACUUCCUCCGGAAUGUGGGCACAUGGAUAAACAGCUAUCACACACUGAGCACAUGUUUUUGGGGUUAUGUUAACAAUGGUACCUUCUGUGAGGAAAUGACACCAGGGGAAGUUUUCUCCCAACCCCUCAACCAGUUCUUUGGGCCCACCCCAUCAAUUUUCGAAGGGUUUAAAUUCCCUCUGAAUACUAACCAUCUGCUGCUGAUAGGCCUACUCUAUUUAGCAUUCAAGGAUAAGUUGAGAUUGGCUUGGAUAUCUACCCGGACACCAGCCCCAGAGACUAGAGAUCCUACCCCAGAGCCUGAUCCUGCCCCAGAACCUGACAUGGCCCCAGAGAGUAGAGUUCCUACCCCAGAGCCUGAUCCUGCCCCAGAGCCUGACACGGCCCCAGACACUAGAGAUCCUACCCCAGAGCCAGAGCCUGCCACAGCCCCAGACACUAGAGAUCCCGCCCCACAGACUGAUACUGCCCAACAGUCCACCUCAGAAAUGGACUACCCAAACUGGGUGGGGGUACUGGCAAAAGGGAUGCAGGAGAUGUGCCAAGAGAUGGGUCAGGUGCGCCAGGAGAUAUGCCAGGAGAUGGGCCAGGUGCGCAAGGAGAUGUGCCAGGAGAUGGGCCAGGUGCGCAAGGAGAUGUGCCAGGAGAUGGGCCAGGUGCGCCAGGAGAUAUGCCAAUUGCUAAGGGAAUACACCUCCUCAGCUAGUGAAAAACCCUCUCCCUGCCCCAAAGAGGGUGAGUCCGAUGGUGCAGCAGUGGAACCCACGGAUGUUACAACCAUCCAGGCUUCAGCUGAACCACAAGGACAACCACAGCCAGCAGCAGUCGCCCCUGUGCAAAGGAGGAAGUAUAAGACCAAAUCAGUACGACCAGUUAAUGAUGAUGGGCAACCAGGGCCCUCACAACCAGCAGGAGAGCCAGAGCCAGAAGUCAUCACUGAGUCCCUGUCGCACGACAGUCUCCGUGCUAUGCGAAACGACAUUGUGCGAAGGGGGCGUGAGCCUUAUACCACCUGGCUGCUUCGGGUUUGGGACCUUAUGGGCACAAGUGUGCAACUGGAUAGUGGUGAGGCAAGGUAUCUGGGAUCGUUGACCCAGGACCCAGGUGUGGACCAGAUAUUUGUGAGGGAGCCAGGGCCUCUCUCUCUUUGGGAGCGGCUCUUAAUGAAUGUGAGAGAAAGGUUCAUUCACAAAGAAAGAAUGCAGGAGUAUCAUCAUAGAAUGCAGUGGAAGACACUCGAGCAAGGGAUCCAACAGCUAAGAGAGGUGGCAAUAUUAGAGGUACUCUUUGGGAAGGAUGGACAGCAUGAUAAUGACCCCGAUAAGGUCAGGUGCACAGGACAGAUGAUGUGGAACCUGGCAAGGCUAGGGCCAUCACAAUACACCACCUUCAUUGCAACGAUUGAUGCUGACAAUACCCGAGAAACAGUGGGCUCUGUUGCCAACAGGCUCAGGC
ensembl:lncRNA